ensembl:lncRNA
GUGAGGAAGUUGCCAAGGAAUAUUUGAGGAAGAGCUUUCCAGGCAGAGAGAAGAGCUUCAGACACAGGCCCUAGGCAAAUGAGGGUUCCUGGUGUGUUCCCGCAGCAAGGAGGCCUGCAUGGCUGGGUAGAGCUGGGGAGGGGGAAGAGAGAGAGCUUGGUGGCUUAUGUGGCAGUGAAAGGAGAGAUAUCUCCCCUUUUGCAUCAUUUUCCUUCCUGGAUUACUUCUUUCUUCAAGAACUGCAUGCAACUGAUAUGUAGAAUGUUCGAUCCUCACAAGAACUUGGCCUAUGCUCCUUAUAUGCUCAUAAGGGAAAAAGUACUUCUUGACCUGUCUGGACCAGCCCUCUCUCAAUGGCUCUUACCUGGACUUCAGUGAACAAACUUGACAUGGAGAGUUUCAAAUGAUAUUCACUGACAAAUUUGGGUCUCAGACAAAUUUGGGACUCAGAAGGAUAUUUUCCUUUGCCAUUGGACUAACUGAAUAUGGAGUAAUCUACAAGAUUCUGCUUCAGAUAUGAGGAUUUGAAGAAAUGCACACAAACAUACACAUAAAACUUGUGAACUAUGGUUCUUAGUGCCUGGAAUGGCAUGAAAAGCCUCCCUUUCCUCUUGAAAAUGGUCUUUGUAACUAGAGAAACGGGCCUGAUUGUUAGUCUAAAGAUAUUUUGUGGCAAUAGCUUGGUGAAAUGUCAAAGCACAGGAAUUUAUUUUUGUGUAGGACUCCUUUGGUUUCUUGGAUUAUACUCUUAACGUUAAAUGCUCACUUGUUACACUCAUCAAUGUCCUACUGGACUCAGCUAAUGCUAAGCUUUCCCUGCUCCUGAAGUCUAGUCUACUUCUGUUUUCAAUAUCAGCAUCCUUCCUCUUUGUUUGCCUACAUUUAGAGAAACAGUUUCAUCACUUACUGGAUAGACCAAGAAAAAUAUGUUCUUGGCCCUUUUUGAAUGGUAUUUUUGCUGAUCUGUGGACAUUUUAAAAUAAUUUAACACAAACACAUGGCUUUUCUGAAUUCAGGAAAUAUUUAGUUGGCUUCUUUCUUGGAGAUCCUAGACCUGGAAGGUACAAUAAGGUCAAGAAGAGGAUAGUGGGCAAUUAUCAGCAUCUUCAUAGCAACACUAAUCAUAACAGUCUCAAACUGGAAGCAACUCAAAGGCCCAGUAGAAUGGAUAAAUAAAUUGUUACAUAUUCAUGCAAUGCAAUACAGUUCAACAACAAUAAUAAAAAAUGCAAUAACAUGGAUAAAACAAACAAACAUAAGAUUGGAUAAAAGUACUCAUAAACUGCAGAAUAUAUAUACGGUAUGACCUCAUUUAUGCAUAGUUCAAAAAAAGCAGGCAAAACUAAUUGAUUCUGUUAGAACUUGAAAUAGUGGUUGCUUUUGGGGUCUUCUGUCUGCAAGAGGGUCCUGGGGCUUCUGGUCUUCUGGAAAUGCUCCGUUUCUAGGUGUUUAUUUCAUGGAUGGAUUGACUUUGCAAAAAUCCUUUGAGUUGAACUUUAUUAUUUAUGAAUUUUAUUUUGUUUGUUAUAUUUCCACAAACAGUUUUACCUUAAAAAAAAAAGGGUGGUAAUGAGGAGCCAAGAGCAUUGUGUCAAGCCUUAAUACCAUCUUUGUUGACAUGUGAAGUAUUCUUAUUUUAACAAAUUUCUUUUUACUUACAUGAAAUAGAUGUCUACUCCAAUAUAGGUGCCAUGUCAUUGACUUGCUUUCUGUUUUUGACAACUUUUUAAGAGAGAAGUUGAACUGGGCCUAAAUAGCAUAAAGGGGAGAAACCAGACAAAUUCUUUAUGAACUCAUCUAUAAUAGAA